CUUUAUUCUCUUUCCGCCUCUGCCUCGGGAUGCCCAUCCCGAGGUAGGAAGAAGUUCCACCAUGUCCAGACGACCGACAGAUGCCCAUCCCCAUGCCCAUCCCGAGGCAAUUCCACCAGCUGCCAAGAGAAAUAUGACCAUCGGACCAUCCCAGCUCAGACCACUACAUCCCCAACCAAGAGCAAAGACGGACUAUUUGUCUUAUUAAUGCUGAAGUUACAAUAUUUGGUAUUAAAUGCUAAACUAAAAUCACAUGUCACCAGUCUGAGUGCAGCUAUGACACAUCAGAGGGGAUCUGGCCCUCCCGGUUGAGCCUGGUUUCUCCCGAGGUUUUUUUCUCCAUUAAUCAAUCAUUGGAGUUUGGGUUCCUCGCCACAGCAGGGCAGUGUUGGCCUGCUCACCGGGAGACUGCAUUCAUUCAUUUAUUUAUUUAUUUAUUUAGAAAUUAGAUGUUAUUUAUUAGAAUGAACUUACUCGUUGUAUAAAUACCAUGCACUGUGCUGUGUUUUAACUUUUCUGUUUUUCCUGUUUGCCCCUGUAAAGCUGCUUUGAAACAAUACACAUUGUGAAAAGCGCUAUAUAAAUAAACUUGAAUUGAAUUGAA